UUCGCAAUGCCCGAAAGGGUGACGAAGCGACGCCGCGUGUGGGAUGAAGGCCCUCGGGUUGUAAACCACUGUCGGGAGUUAAGAAUUGUAGGGGUGCUAAUAGUAUUUCUACUUGACUAAGGCUCCGGAGGAAGCCACGGCUAACUCUGUGCCAGCAGCCGCGGUAAUACUGAGGCGGCAAGCGUUGUUCGGAAUUAUUGGGCGUAAAGAGCAUGUAGGCGGCUAUGUAAGUCGGUUGUGAAAGCCUUCCGCUUAACGGAAGAAUGGCGGUCGAAACUGCAUGGCUUGAGUGCGGGAGGGGAGAGUGGAACUUCUGGUGGAGCGGCGAAAUGCGUAGAUAUCAGAAGGAACGUCGGCGGCGAAAGCGACUCUCUAGACCGUAACUGACGCUGAGUGUGCGAAAGCUAGGGGAGCAAACGGGAUUAGAUACCCCGGUAGUCCUAGCCGUAAACGAUGGGCACUAAGUAGAGGGGUUUU
rnacentral:rRNA from 1 species